GGUGCCAUAGCUCAGUUGGUAGAGCAAAGGACUGAAAAUCCUAGUGUCCCCGGUUCGAUUCCUGGUGGCACCA
rnacentral:tRNA from 1 species